CGUGGCUAACCUGCCCUUGGGACGAGAACACCCCCGGGAAACUGGGGCUAAUUUUCGAUAGGUGAAGAACUCUGGAAUGAGUCUUUGCUUAAAAGACGCUAAAGUUAUGCUCUUUGGCACCGCCCAAGGAUGGGGCCGCGACCGAUCAGGUUGUUGGUGAGGUAAUGGCUCACCAAGCCUCUUACCGGUGCGGGCCGUGGGAGCGGGAGCCCGGAGAUGGGCACUGAGACAAGGGCCCAGGCCCUACGGGGCGCAGCAGUCGCGAAAACUUUGCAAUAAGCGAAAGCUUGACAGGGCUAUCCCGAGUGCCAUCCGCUGAGGAAGGCUUUUACCCAGUCUAGAACGCUGGGGGAAUAAGGAGAGGGCAAGUCUGGUGUCAGCCGCCGCGGUAAUACCAGCUCUCCGAGUGGUGUGGAUGUUUAUUGGGCCUAAAGCAUCCGUAGCUGGCUAAGUUAGUCCCCUGUUAAAUCCACCGAAUUAAUCGUUGGAUUGCGGGGGAUACUGCUUGGCUAGGGGACGAGAGAGGCAGACGGUAUUUCCGGGGUAGGGGGUGAAAUCCUAUAAUCCCGGGAAGACCACCAGUGGCGAAAGGCUGUCUGCUAGAACGCGCCCGACGGUGAGGGAUGAAAGCUGGGGGAGCGAACCGGAUUAGAUACCCGGGUAGUCCCAGCUGU
rnacentral:rRNA from 1 species